rnacentral:pre_miRNA from 1 species
AAAGUACCCCCUCUGUCCCAAAAUUCUUGUCUUAGAUUUGUCUAGAUACGGAUGUAUCAAGUCACAUUUUAGUAUUAGAUACAUCCAUAUCUAGACAAAUCUAAGACAAAAAAUUUGGGAUAGAGGGAGUAGUUG